rnacentral:rRNA from 1 species
GACGAACCGAGCGAACGUUGUUCGGAAUCAUUGGGCGUAAAGGGCGCGUAGGUGGCGGGACAAGCGUGCGGUGAAAGCCUGGGGCUCAACCCCGGGUCGGCCGUGCGAACUGUUUUGCUUGAGCACUGUAGAGGCAGGCGGAAUUCCGGGUGUAGCGGUGGAAUGCGUAGAGAUCCGGAAGAACACCGGUGGCGAAGGCGGGUCUCUGGGCCGAUACUGACGCUGAGGAGCGAAAGCGUGGGGAGCGAACAGG